rnacentral:tRNA from 1 species
GCUCCAUUGGAGAAGUCAGGAGUUCUCGCCAGCCUGUCACGCUGGAGAUCACGGGUUCAAAUCCCGUAUGGAGCG